rnacentral:rRNA from 1 species
GAUCCUGGCUCAGGAUGAACGCUAGCUACAGGCUUAACACAUGCAAGUCGAGGGGCAGCAUGUUGGUUGCUUGCAACCGAUGAUGGCGACCGGCGCACGGGUGAGUAACGCGUAUCCAACCUACCCUUGUCCAUCGGGAUAACCCGUCGAAAGGCGGCCUAACACGAUAUGCGGUUCACCGCAGGCAUCUAACGUGAACGAAAUGUGAAGGAGAAGGAUGGGGAUGCGUCUGAUUAG